rnacentral:lncRNA from 1 species
CACCACCUUACUUUAGUUUUUGGUCAAUUUGAUUAUUGACACCAAAAGCAUGACGUCUAGUUCAGAUAAUUACUGAUGUCAGCUAUUCUAUAUCAGUCUUAUACUGACGUACUACUGCAAGUACAGACGGUUAUCCGAUAGCUGUCAUCCAUUUCAGCAGCAAUUGUCUUCUAGCUGUAUUCUAACUCAUCGCCAUGUAGGUAGUUGCCCC